AUACGGAACGUACCUCUAGGGGUGCGUUCGGGGAGCACGCUAUUCGCACAAUAAGUAUCUAAGACCGUUCGAGGAGACGCUUUGUGGCGCUAUAAAAUCGAUAAUGACAUCACUCUCAAAGCAGCGUGACGUCAUUAUUCGCGCAAUUUUUCGCUAUCAUUUUCGAGGUAGGGCAGCAAAUGCUAUUAGCGCUAAUUGGCGCUUAUUCUUUCCUCGAACGUUCGAUUGUGCUUUAAAGUGUUAGUCUAUGAUCUGUUCUUUUUAACUGCUGUUCUUUCAACCAAUUACAACAGUGCAACCAGAAAGAACAAACCAAUUGCGUCAAAAGUCAAAUAAGGACAAUUUAUUAAACUGUGAGAAACUGUAUUCACAAUGGCUCAACCACUUAGUUAAAUAUCUGAAAAUGUCGAAAUUCAUCUUUUAGAUGAAAACGAUGUGACAUACACAAUAAAAGUAUCGCCAAAUGAUGCAGCGCGUGCAGAAAAUGAAAGAGCAAAAUCACAAGAUUCAGAUUUUGAUGCAGCAAGUCUGUCAAUGGAGUCUUCCAAUUCUGAGGAUAAUAAUGAAUCAAUGUUUAAAUGGUCUCAUGCGGCAAUUCUAUUGCUGGUAGAAAAGUAUCGGCUGCAAAAAAAUAACAUUGUAUCGAGUAAAAUGUCCCAGAAAAAAGUAUGGAAUAAUAUUGCAUCAGCAUUAUUUGUUAAAGGCUAUAAUGUCACUGAACCUCAAUGUCUUUCAAAAUUUCACGGAAUGAAACGAACUUAUAAAUCUAUAAAAGAUCACAAUAGCAAAUCAGGGAAUAA